UUGGAGGGCAAGUCUGGUGCCAGCAGCCGCGGUAAUUCCAGCUCCAAUAGCGUACAUUAAAGUUGUUGCAGUUAAAAAGCUCGUAGUUGAAUUUCGGAAUCUGUCCGUCGGUCGGGCUUCAUUGUCCGUACUGGUGUGAUGGGUUUCUACCUUCUGAAUAAUCGGCAUGUCAUUAAUUUGGUGCGCCGGGGAAGCAGAACUAUUACCUUGAAAAAAUUAGAGUGCUUAAAGCAGGCUAUCGCCUGAAUAGAUUAGCAUGGAAUAAUAAAAUAGGACGGCAUGGUUCUAUUUUGUUGGUUUCUAGGAUCACCGUAAUGAUUAAUAGGGAUAGUUGGGGGCAUUAGUAUUCAAUUGUCAGAGGUGAAAUUCUUGGAUUUAUUGAAGACUAACUUCUGCGAAAGCAUUUGCCAAGGAUGUUUUCAUUAAUCAAGAACGAAAGUUAGGGGAUCGAAGACGAUCAGAUACCGUCGUAGUCUUAACCAUAAACUAUGCCGACUAGGGAUCGGACGAUGUUAAUUUUUUAAUGACUCGUUCGGCGCCUUACGGGAAAC
rnacentral:rRNA from 1 species